UGUGCAUGUGUUCAUGCAAUGUCGAUGUGAUGGAGGGGGGAGUGAGGUAAUGUGCAGCAUUAACAUUUGAUCACUAUAAACAAAUCAUUUGUGCAGGUUUUUCGGCAAAAGUUAAACGCUCAUACGUCGUCUUCGACGAGAGA